ACAUCGGUAGCACAGUGGUUAGUGCAGUCUGCCGGAAACAGAAAGACCCGGGUUCAAUUCCCGUCCGGUGUC
rnacentral:tRNA from 1 species